UUUCAUAUUUAAUAAUAUUUAAUAUUUCAUUUACUACUGGGGACUCACCUUUUUUUUUCCAGCAGAAUGUAAGAUGCAAGGCACUAUAGUACAUUAAGAUUUUAUGUCUGAGUAUAACAGUGUUGUAAAGAUUGUCGUUGGAGCUGUUUAGCAUGAUGCAGAGACUGAAAGCAACUAGGUUUCUUUUUCUUUCUCCUGCCCCCUCCAGCAGUCAAAGCAGGAAUGGAAGAGGCCGUCACAAAACCACAUAGCAGGAGCUGCCAGCAACAGGAGGAGAAAGAAACGCGUUGUCGGCCAUACUGUUCCAGUUCAGGGACUCUCGCAACAGAAAAGAUCAGCUGCUGGAGAACCCAUGGAAGGCCCUUGGGGAAGCGCCAUGGCCGCAAGGUAAUCAGCAGGCAAAGUUAUUAUCAUUAUGCUGCUAAUUAAUUCCCAGCUCAUUACAUUUCCUGUGGCUAAUUUGUACUCGCCACUGAUUUGAUUAAACUCAUCUCUAUGCUAAUAAAUGUGUUUUCCAUUUGUUUUAGUGACUGAAG
rnacentral:lncRNA from 1 species